GACGUAGGGGGCAAGCGUUGUUCGGAAUUACUGGGCGUAAAGGGCGCGUAGGCGGCACGGCAAGUCAGGAGUGAAAGCCCUGGGCUCAACCCGGGAACUGCUUUUGAAACUGCCGAGCUAGAGUGCGGAAGGGGCAACUGGAAUUCCCAGUGUAGCGGUGAAAUGCGUAGAUAUUGGGAAGAACACCUGAGGCGAAGGCGGGUUGCUGGGCCGACACUGACGCUGAUGCGCGAAAGCCAGGGGAGCGAACGGG
rnacentral:rRNA from 1 species